rnacentral:rRNA from 1 species
UCGGGAAUUUUGCGCAAUGGGCGAAAGCCUGACGCAGCAACGCCGCGUGAGGGAUGAAGGCCUUCGGGUUGUAAACCUCUUUUCUCAGGGACGAUGAUGACGGUACCUGAGGAAUAAGCCACGGCUAACUACGUGCCAGCAGCCGCGGUAAUACGUAGGUGGCAAGCGUUGUCCGGAUUUACUGGGCGUAAAGAGCGCGCAGGCGGUCGUGCAAGUCGAGUGUGAAAGCCCCCGGCUCAACUGGGGAGGGUCACUCGAUACUGCUCGACUUGAAGGCGGAAGAGGGAAGCAGAACUCCCGGUGUAGUGGUGAAAUGCGUAGAUAUCGGGAAGAAUACCAGUGGCGAAGGCGGCUUCCUGGUCCGUUCUUGACGCUGAGGCGCGAAAGCUAGGGGAGCGAACGGG